UAUUUGUUAAUUGCCCAAUUUCUGGUUUUCACCCCCUGCUCCUCCUCUCCCUCCCCCCCAGGUGCUGCGGGGCCUCGCGGGGCGCGGAUGGAGAGCGGUUUCCGGCAAAGCCGCCCAAAACCCGCGGCUGAGCAAACCCUCGGCUGGAUUCAGCUUCGAACUGACGGAUGAACAGAAGGAAUUUCAAGCCACCGCCCGGAAAUUUGCUCUGGAGGAAAUAAUUCCUGUUGCUGCCGAAUAUGACAGAACCGGGGAGUACCCUCUGCC